UGUCAUUUUGUACCCUUACCCUGACCACGGCUUCAACCGAUUCUGAUGAAACUUAACACAAACGUAGCCCGAUAUGACAAUAUUGCAAAACUAACGAAGCGAAGAUCGUGAAAAGUUCCCCCAGUUCUGAAAAAAAUCGAAAUCGAUAAAUUCGACAUAGGGUCGAAAGUCUAAACCUUUUAUAUGCAUCACAUUUUCUGUUGGGGGACAGCUAGGAACGUCGUAUACACAGAAGUAUUCGAGUGAAGAGAAGACAUUGCAAACUACACAUGCACCUUUGUUCCCUAGAGAUUAAGGACUGGAUUGGGAUUA